GAUGGCGAGUGGCGAACGGGUGAGUAAUACAUCGGAACGUGCCCUGUAGUGGGGGAUAACUAGUCGAAAGAUUAGCUAAUACCGCAUACGACCUGAGGGUGAAAGUGGGGGACCGCAAGGCCUCAUGCUAUAGGAGCGGCCGAUGUCUGAUUAGCUAGUUGGUGAGGUAAAGGCUCACCAAGGCGACGAUCAGUAGCUGGUCUGAGAGGACGAUCAGCCACACUGGGACUGAGACACGGCCCAGACUCCUACGGGAGGCAGCAGUGGGGAAUUUUGGACAAUGGGCGAAAGCCUGAUCCAGCAAUGCCGCGUGUGUGAAGAAGGCCUUCGGGUUGUAAAGCACUUUUGUCCGGAAAGAAAUGGCUCUGGUUAAUACCUGGGGUCGAUGACGGUACCGGAAGAAUAAGGACCGGCUAACUACGUGCCAGCAGCCGCGGUAAUACGUAGGGUCCAAGCGUUAAUCGGAAUUACUGGGCGUAAAGCGUGCGCAGGCGGUUGUGCAAGACCGAUGUGAAAUCCCCGAGCUUAACUUGGGAAUUGCAUUGGUGACUGCACGGCUAGAGUGUGUCAGAGGGGGGUAGAAUUCCACGUGUAGCAGUGAAAUGCGUAGAGAUGUGGAGGAAUACCGAUGGCGAAGGCAGCCCCCUGGGAUAACACUGACGCUCAUGCACGAAAGCGUGUGGAGCAAACAGGAUUAGAUACCCUGGUAGUCCACGCCCUAAACGAUGUCAACUAGUU
rnacentral:rRNA from 1 species